rnacentral:rRNA from 1 species
UACGUAGGGGGCAAGCGUUGUCCGGAUUUACUGGGCGUAAAGAGCGCGCAGGCGGCUGGUCAAGUCCGAUGUGAAAGCUCCCGGCUUAACUGGGAAACGGCAUCGGAAACUGAUCGGCUUGAAGGUGGGAGAGGGUAGUGGAAUUUCCGGUGUAGUGGUGAAAUGCGUAGAGAUCGGGAGGAACACCAGUGGCGAAGGCGGCUCACUGGGCCGAGCCUGACGCUGAGACGCGAAGGCGUGGGGAGCGAACGGG